CACCUGGGGGGCUAUUGUCAGCUCAGUUGGUAGAGCAGGCGAUUCCGAACCGCAGGGCUGUGGGUUCGAGUCUCACACUGGGUGA